AUGGCGGGCGCCGAAGGGCUCCCAGCGGACCUCCUCGCGGCGAUCUACCGCCGGUGCGCCUCGGCGUACGACCGCGCCCGCUUCGCCGCCGUCUGCACGUCGUGGCGUGCCGUCGCGUUGUGGCACCCGAAGCUACCGGCUAUCCCGCUGUUGCUUCCGUCGACCGCCAAUGGCCGGCGCGACCGGAUGACGCGGGCGUACAGCCCAGAGGACGGCAGGGUCCUGCGUGCCCCGCUGCCCGGGUUCCCCAAGUGCAGGCAGAUCGUGGGUUCCCACGACGGCGGCUGGGUCGCCGCCGCCACUGGCUCCCGGAUCGUGGUCGUGAACCUCUUCGCCCGCGGCCGCGUGCUGCUCUCUCGGGACUUUACAUGUACAUGCCCCUUUGCUAGACAAGCCCCUCACAAGAUCUACAUUCAAAAAAUCAUCUUCUCGGAGGAUCCUGUCUCAAAAGGCUGCAUUCUUGCCGCGAUAACCACUACAGGGUGCAACAUAGGUCUUUAUAGGCGUGGCAGCCUGGAGGACGGUGGUGCGGAUGGUGGGUGGAUCACACGAGGGUGCGGGUGGGUGGACCACGGAUUCCCUACACUCAAAGACAUCGCCUUUUGCAACGGCGAGCUGUACGGUCUUUCGUGGACCAAAAUGUUAUACAGGUUCAUCAUCGGGCAGAACAAAUCCGGCGCGCCGGUGAUCACCUCAGUCGACCAGGUAACCAUGGCACCCAUCGGCUACGAGGAUGCCAAGUAUAUCAUCGAGCUAUGCGGCAAGCUUGCAAUAGCACUGGAGAUCAGGCUGCAAGUGGACACGGGCUGUCCGCGGCGCCCGCAUAAAAACCCACAUAAUCAACUUUUGCGGACGCCCGCGGAUAGAGCAGCCAGAUAUGUGGGAUAUGUGGGCUGUCCCGCGGCGUCCGCAUCAAGGCCACGUUUCCGCGAUGAUGCAAUGAUUAUUAGGGGGCGCCGCCGCCGUCCAGUUCCGCCAUGGUCGCAAGACCGCCUUCCAGUUCCGCCGCAGCGCUGCUGUUACACCGCAUGGCCUUUUCCACCCCCCGCCUGGCGCGUCGUACACGGCGCCAUGUCGUACGGGCCUUUACCCGUACAUGAGCCUGAACUGGAGAUCUCGAACCAAUCCAAGGGUAAAAAAAUUACGGUGUUUGAACUCGCCGUCAACCCUAACAAAACAACAGGAUCGUCCUCGUACGUAUGGGUGAAGGUGGUGAACCUGGGAGAUCAUGCCCUGUUCCUGGGGGCAGGAUGCUGCAAGGCGGUGCGCGUGUCGACCGCGGACAAGCGCGGCAUAGUGGAAGCAAACUGUAUCUACUACUCCUCUAACAACGACUAUCCAAGCAACUUGGUGAGGGUGGACCUCGGCAGCUGUUUUGUGUAUUGCUGUGAAAGCAACUCGCACCACUCACAAAGGAUCCUGUCACGGGGAUACUAUUGCUACACGAAGGAUACCCGUAGUGUGGCAAAUCGCCAACUUAGCCUCCGCCUGAGAACAUGGAUUCCACCAGGUCUCAACCUCCACAUCAGCACCGCGAAGACACCUCCCCAUCAACGCCACAAAGCCUGCUGCCUGCUAAUCUCCACCACCUCAGCAUGGCAGUGGAUGAUGGUGCAGCAGCGGCAUAUGGGAACAGAGGAAUGGAAGAACCUUGUUUAG
rnacentral:rRNA from 1 species